ACCCAGCACGUCGUCUUCAGCCAUCAUUGCGUCAGUACGUCUCGCGUGUUUUGUGUCAGAAAUCUAACAAAGAAAGCCAUCAAGAUGCCCCAGAAGCACUACGCUGUUGCCAAUGGACGUAAUCCUGGUGUUUGACAACUGGGAUGAUGCAAAGGCUCAGGUCAAUGGGUAUUCUCACAAUCACCACAAGAGCUUCCCAAGUCAGGAGGCUGCUGCAGACUGGGUCGCUCAGAAUGGCGGUGGCUCUUCCUCAAGAGGGUAUGCGCGUGUUGACAUCUACCACAGGAGCCAGGGAUCCAACAACGGUUCAGGUGGACGCAAGUAAACUUCCAGGAUGUCUUCUCGACUGUAAAUGGAGUGAUCCGCAAGCUGGUAUUGAUACAGUGGUUUAAAUAAUUGAAAAAAUUAAGGACACGAAUAAAAAAAAAUACAUUAAAAGAUUGUGCCUUCAGCAAUUGUUGAAAGUAUUCAUAUCCUUAAUUGUUAUAGGAAACAACAUUAAGUCUCAACACUUUAAAAUGAGCAUUCGUUUUAAAAAAAUGUACGCGUAUAUUAUUUUGCUCAUUGCAAUUAUUCAAAAAUAAUCGAGUGAACAAUGACAUGUCAGUAAAACAACCACUCAGCCCUCGUUUACAGUCUUCAUCUAUCUUUAUAUGUGUGUUUCUACUUUUCAUAUAUCUGUACACAUUUUUGGAAAAGUUUGCAUCCUCGGGCGAUAAUGCUAAUCCAUUGUAGUUAAUAAAAGACCUGUGUGUACAUUAA